AAGUGCGUCAAGCAAGAUGCCAAAGUCCUUGCUAUUUCUCUCCUGAUGCCCUUUUGAGGGAUUUUCUGUGAUUUUUCACCAUUGGAAACUUCCAACUAUAGGUCUUUGUCUGGGAACUUACCGUUUCCUCUCAGCCCUUGUCUUCCCAGAAAUACUUCCUGUUGGGACUUUCUUAUCUUUCUAAGGCAGCUAUCUUGGAAGAAGUGCCUUUGAACUCUCAAGAACAAUUCUUUUCAGAAAUCCACCAGGCCAAUGAGAAAACACAUACCUGCUUGAUGGGUCCAUCAGUGGAAGUGCAAGCCAUUCCCAAUAUAGACCAGUCUCAAGACUGUGCUACUUCCAGCCAGUCUCAUAGAGAGGGCUUCAUAGGAGUACAGCCUCCCUCAACUCUAACAGACAUACAAUUAGCCUGAAUUCCGGAAGAAAACUUUGACUAGGGUGAGGAAAGAAGAAUGACACAGCACUUCAGAAACUAACUAGAAACUCACUACCAUUUUUUUCACAACAUCUCAUGAAUUCAUAGCUUUUUCUUAUGUAGGCUAGAGGUGAGUAAUGAGCAAAAAUGGAUUCAUAUUCUUUGAUCCUAUUCUUAGCAGAUGUGUUUACUAUUGUUCUCCACAUCUGGGGCUUAUAAAAAGGAAAAGACACAGCUCAUGUCCUUGAAAUCUUGCCCACAUCAUAUAAACUUGCUGGAUCUAUUUCCUCAACUGUAAAAUCCAGGCUUUGGAGAGAAGUUAAUGUAGUAUAGUCCCUCCCUUCAAGGAACUGGCAUUUUACUAAAGGAGAUGCAUCUCAAAAUAAUUACCCUACUAAAAAUUAGGUUGGAAACAUUACAGAAGUAAGCAGGAUGGGCUAUCUCAUGGAAAGACAUAAAGAGGAGAAACAGGUUUCCCCAACAAAGGGAAGGACACUCUUCAGUUUUGUAUUCCCCACAACUCUUGUCAAGGUAGUAAAUGUUCAACAGAUACAUUUAUAUAUAAAUAAAUGCCCAAAGAGGUAAAUAUUAAGGAACUAUUUCACUUGUGGGACUGAGGAGGUAGAGUUUUUUGUACUUACUUAAUGGUAAGGCACCAAAUAUGAACCUGAGAUUAUCAUAUUCUGCCAUCUGGAAUAUUUUUAAACAAAUAGAUCCAUUUGCAAAAUGGCUGGAAGGUUUCAGAAAUGCCACCUCUGAUCAUGUAUGAGUGUAAAAUUGACACCAACAUGGGUCACAUGUAUGAACUCUAACUUUGAUCAAAUUGUGUACAGUCUGAACUAAAUAAAUGGAAUUCACCAGUUACUGUCUUUGUAACCCACCUUAGUAGAGAUGAAUCCUCUGCCAAGCAGUAAAAACAAAAUAGGUACUUGAAAAAAAAGAGAGACCAAAGAAGAAAGGACAACUUGAGAGAGGAAGGUCAAGUGCAACCAAAGCCAGCCUGUACCUCUGCCAUAAGAACAUGAUCCAUCAAUGAAAUAUGUGUGUUUAUUGAAUGCCUACAAUUUAUUCAUUAUUUGCAAGGCAUCAUACAGAAGAUAUAAUGACCUUUAAGACAAGGUGAUUGUUUAUUUGAAAUUUGUACCAUAAAUUAUUUAAGGCAGUGUAUCAUGUAGUCUCCUACCAAUGCCUUUGCCAACUGUUGGAGCAGUGAUGGCCAUUCUCUCCUCUGAUGUCCUGGAAUAUUUUACAUGUUCUAUCAUAAUGCAUUCUCACACAGGAUUUCUCUCCCUGGGUUUCCUUGAUUAUAAGCCAUAUAUUUUGUAGCCUUUGUAUCACCAAUGGCAAAAACAUCAGAGAUCAACAAAUGGAAUGAACAGAUGAAUAAUGGAAAAAGGAGUGGUAUAGAUGCAGACCCAGAGUACUUCAAAUAUUGAACAGAAUAGAUGUUGAAGGGGAAGUGUUUCAACAUGGAGAAAAUUGGCAAAGAGAUGUUAGCUGAGGAACAGUAGGGCAGGUAGGAAGAAAUUUACAUAAAAAGGAAUAAGAAAGAAAGCAGAAGCAGGGAAAUCUUAUAGAACAGCACCACUUUGAGAGAGGAUGAAAGAAGAAAGAACAGACACAAAGGACUUGGUCCUGAGCCAGUCCACAUUAGGGGCUCAGGCAGUGCAGUUGGCUCUUUUCUCACUAUGUGCACUUCUGAGGUAUAAUUAAAGGAGUGGUGGGUCCCCAGCAGUCAGUUCAGCUGUUAAAAGGGGUGUUUGUGCAACUAGCAGAACUCAGCACUGUAUGGUUCUGUUUUCUGUGAUAGUCUUGCUGGGGUGAAAAGGGGCUCAGAUGAAUCAAUAAAGUCUUCUGAUUCACAGUGCUUCUUGGCUUGGCUAUCAAAAUUCCUGCUACCUUUGUAUGUGUGGGCAGGACUUUCCAUUGCACUUGCUAGUGAGCAUAUAGAAAAAUCCCCCUCUUUAUCUAAAGGAUAGAAUAGGAAGUAGGAAUUACUGAGGAACUGGAUUUAUUUGUGUGGGGAUGUACAUUAUUGGCCUCAUAAGAUCAAAGCUGCAAUAUAACAUCUAAGCUGUCUGUAAAAUAUUUUUAAAUAUAAACUCAACCGUCCUUAUCCAUAUUCAUCCUUUUCAUGAGCAUGAAAGAUUGGAUUGUUCAAUAGUGAAAUUGCUUUGUCUUCCAAGUUGUUCAUGAGCAUUGACAAUAGGCAGCACUAUGCUUAUUUUCCAAGUGGUAGCUUCAGAGAGAAAACACCAAAAAUCUUACACUGUAUUUUGACAUUCUUUUAUUAGAGAUUUAUUAAUUCAUUAGAAGAUUUGAGGAUAUUUUCCCCCUCAAAAGGCAUUUGAUAAGAUGUGAACAUGUCUAAAGUAGCAGUGACAUAAGCUUUUAAUUUUGGCUGUUCCCUUAGGGCCACACACCUGAAGGGUAAACUGGAUACGUAUCUUAGAGCUCAGAAAAUCACAGCAUUUCAGAUUCUGAAGCACUGAUCCCAUUGUUUUCAACAGACAGAUGAGGAGGCUGAGUCCUGGACUGGUAAAGUGUUGUACACAAAUGUGAAAUUAUUGUGUUACAAAUCCAAAACAAACCAGUACCAUAUCUCUUGACUCUCACCACUAGUCUUUCCUCUAUGCCACACCUUGUUCGGGAUAGGCCCUCUGUCAAGAGUGCAAAGAGAGGACCAAGAAAGGGAGCUUCAAGGAGGAAGAACAACCUGAGAAAGGUGAAGGACAACAAAAAUGAGCUCUUGUCUCUGCUGUGAUGCUUGGGGACAGGCUUGAGUGGGAGCUUAGCCACCCCACAACGAGACCUAGCAUCACAGCAAAAUAUAGCCCUACAUUUCUGCAGCAUCAGGACAGUAAUGCAGAUUUUACACUUAAUGAUAGCUCUUUCAAUUCUGUUGUAGAAAACAAGUGAUCUCUAGCUCUCGAGCUGUAUUUCUAAUUUUAAAUUCUUAUACAUUUACAUUGCAGUGAAAUUGCUCCAUACCACCCUUGGAAAUACUACUGUACAACAUCAACUUAAGGUGCUUUUUUAACUCAGUUGAGUGAAAAAUGGUGAUCACAAGUCUGUAUUUUCUUAUAACAAUAUUUCAGUGAGGUAAGAAAAAAUACAGGACUAAUUUAUGAAAUGAGUGAGCUUUUUUCUAAGUAGUGUUUGCCAGGUGUGUAGAUUGGUAGUUUCGGAAACAAAACAACUCCUUUCCAGAAUGAAAAAGUGAUGAAAUCUUUUAUUUUAAAAGUAAAUGUUUAUGCUUACUUUUAAUUUUAAAUGACACGGAUUAACUGAGAAUAUUCAUAAACAUAUAUAGUAUUCAAUUUUUCCUUUCAUAUCAAUAGACAUUUAUACACCAUUUAUAUAUUUUCAGUUGAAGAGCUAGAAAUGGUUAUGGGAAUAAAAGACUUCAAUCACGAUUCUAUUGUUCCCUUUAAAGAAAGGAGUGUUCUUUUCCUACCUACUAUUCAUGGAACAAGAGGUUGUGUUAGCUUUGUAAUGUUGCUGUAACAAAUUACCACAGACUUCGAGGUGUAAAACAAGGCAAACUUAUUAUCUUAUAGUUCAGGAAAUCACAAGUCUGAAAUCUCUCUUAUUGGGCUAAAAUCAAGGUGUUGACAGGGCCACGUUCCUUUGUGAAAGCUCCAGAAGAGAAUCAGUUUCCUUGCCUUUCCAGCUUCUAGAGGACACCUGUUUGCCUUGGCUUAUGCCCCAUUCCACCAUCGUCCAAACCAGCAACAUCAGGACAAGUUUUUGUUGUUGUUGUUGUUGUUUUCACAUUGCCAUGUCUCAGACUCUCUCUUCAGUCUCUCUUCCAUUUUCAAGGACUCUUGUGAUUAAAUUGGGCUCACCUGUGUAGCUAGGGUAAUCUCCCUAUUUCAAGGUCAGCUGAUUAGCAACAUUAAUUCUCCUUUGUAACCUAAUUACAUUCACAAAUUUUGGAGUUAGGACCUAGACGUCUUUGGGAGCCAUUAUUCUGCCCACCACAAAGCUCAAGAAGGUUAAGUUGAAAAGCUGUUACUGCCACUUGAUGGCAAGUGGUUGAGAGUAUCAUUGCAUCCCUGCUGAAAACUUCAUGCUGGAGUGUAUGUGAUUAGUGGGCUGAAUGCAAUAUUUCUCUAAGUCGUAGAAUGAGACUCAGUACUUUCCCCUCACCUUGCUACAGGUUAGGAUGCCUAACAGCUAAGUCUGUGCUGAAUGUUAUUAAUGAGUGAACUACUAAUUAUUUGAGCUGAUUCCAUCAGAAUAUACCUGAAUGUAUAUAUGUAGUAGGCAGCUAAUAUAUUCAGAUAAAAAUCAUUUUGAACAAAACUGAAAAUAUAGCCAAAUUCAAAAUCUAGUUUAUGUAAAUACCAUAUCCAUUUUUUUUCCUUUCAAUACCUUCAUAUCUACAUUCAAAAAUUUUACUUUUGGCACUCACUCUAGUAGUUAAGCUGGAAAGUAAUUUUAUUACAGAAUAAAAUAUACUGACGCAACUGCUAUGAAAUUGACAAAUUUGACAAAUAAACCUAUUUGGGUGGGCAUAUGAGGUAAUACUAAAUAUCUUUUUUUGCUUUUAUAGAAAGCUAGUCAAUUAAUUGUUUCCUUUACACAGGUUUUCAUGACAAAUCAUUGAGAUUAGUCAUGCCAACUGUUGAGCAGGUGGCUCUCCUCCUUGGCAUCCCUGUUGCUUAUAUACUUCCACCCAUGUCAUUCUUUACUCAAGAGAGAGAAUUCUUUGGCAGUGAAACACCAUGUGGCUUCUCAAUAUUUGUGUGGAUUAAGCAUCCACAAUGUACACAUAAUGUGAAAGACACUGUUGGAUGGAUAUAAAUGCCUAUUUUACCUUUUAUCUUUUCAAUUUCUUCCCACUCCUAAAUUAUCCCUCACCUGCCAAACAUAGCCCCGGAUUCAAAAAUAAUUAGGAUUCAGAUUCUGAAGAUCACAGCUCCUAUAAUUUAGCAUUACCAGAUUUUCAGCUUUCACUAAGUAUAAAUACAUUCUAAUUUAAAUGAACACUAAAUUUCAUCAAAAUUGGUGGAAAACACUCUGAAAAAACUAUGGAAAACACUUAGAAUGUCGCCUGUACAGAGUAAGCAUUACAUAGAGCUAGUAGCAGUAGUAGUAGUAGAAAACUGAUACUUUAAUAUUAUUUUGAUAAUAUAAUAACUCCUGAAUUCCUAUAUGCGUUUUUGUUUAUUUGUACUUCCUGUGAAAAAUUGUGAUUUCUAU
rnacentral:sRNA from 1 species